AGGACGAACGCUGGCGGCGUGCUUAACACAUGCAAGUCGAGCGGAAAGGCCCUUCGGGGUACUCGAGCGGCGAACGGGUGAGUAACACGUGAGCAACCUGCCCCUGGCUCUGGGAUAGCUCCGGGAAACCGGGAUUAAUACCGGAUAUGACCUUCCGUUGCAUGACGGCGGGUGGAAAGUUUUUCGGCUGGGGAUGGGCUCGCGGCCUAUCAGCUUGUUGGUGGGGUGAUGGCCUACCAAGGCGACGACGGGUA
rnacentral:rRNA from 1 species